rnacentral:lncRNA from 1 species
GGUUUGGGUUUUUUUUUGGCUAGUUUAUUUUUUUUUUAUAUAAAUGUAAAUAAUUUACUUUCCCCAAGGUUUUUUAAUGAAAAAAAAAUUUAUAUUCCAGAGUCUUUUAUUUAAAGCUUCCAUUCUUGAGAAUGUUUUGUGUGAGUAGUCCUGCAGAAGCUCCACAACAAAAGCCUGCAAGAGCAUGCCAACCAUUUGGAUACCUAUCUAUCUUCACCACUGUAACCAACAGAAAUCAUGGAGCACGCUGCUUCCUUUGGGCAUUAGUCUUGCUGCUUUCAGUGAAUGGACCAGCCAAAGGCCUUAAUACUUUCAGUGAGAUUAGGAGCCGAAGGAACACGGUGGCACAGGCAAGGUUUAUGAAGUGCUUUGUCUCGUGUCUCUCCCACCUUGGGGCUGCACAGUCACAGAAAACCCAACAAAAAUAUUGCCAUUAAAAUAACAGCCUUUACUACACUCACCCAAAUCCCUGUGCAGCAAAAGGGAGAGGGGCGAUGCCUGUGACCCGUGUGGCGCUCGGGCGUUGGGUUUCUGUGACAGGCGUGAUCCCCCCCGCUGCCCCCACGCACGGCUCAUCAGUCAACUCAGACAUUUCAGCAAAUCACAUGGCACUUUGUAAAAACAUAAUUGUUUUUAUUUUCCAAUUUUCCGUGUUUUGUGUAGAGUGCUGCUGUGUUCAAGCGAAGUGAAUAAAAGCAUAAACAGCAAGCACCAUCUGGAGAACAUUCUUCCAGCACACUGAGAAAUAGCAGCCGCCUGUGCGCUACCUGCUAUAAAUAAAUGUCAUUUAAAAAUGUCCAAAAAAUUGUUCCUAUUUGAUGGAACUGUAGUUAGAUAAAAUUUUCCUUAACCCUGUCUUCAGAUACCCAACACCUUUACAGAAAAAAACUCCAAACAGAUGUAGAUAUUUGUCUCUGUGUUAAUAUGAGUAUUACUAACAGAAUAGCAACCCUACACAUUAUUCUAGUAACAGCAACAGAGGCUGCAACUUAAGUGUAACACAUGAACAAAGCACUGAAAAUCCCAAUGCUUUUUAAACUGUACCAGGUUCAAGAUAUCUCUCAGCCCACUAUCAAGACAACAAAUAAAAUUAUUCAUUCUCCAAACUAAUAGUGUAUCAGUUUAGAGGGGAAAAAAAAUACCAGAAAGUCCAUAAUUUAUUUCAGUCUACACAAAGCAACAUCUCCCUCUCUGCUGACAAAAUACAGACCAAGCUGGCUGUGGGGCUGUGAUGAGGCUCUGUGAAGGGUUGGAGUUUGCUGUGUUUGUUUAAUCACUGCAAUUAGAGCUAUGCAAAUAAUGGAAUUGUUUGCUAGAGUGGCAAGGCUGGGGUAAAAAAUUAAAAAGAAGUAUUUGGGUUGAGUGAUUUAAAAACAAUUUUGGUAAAAUGAAAAAAUGAAACUGUCUAGUUUGUUCUACUCAGAUUCAACUCAGAAUCCAUUCAGUUUGAAAUGAAAAAUACAUUUUCAUACUGGAACAAAGCAUAUGAGCAAUUGUCAUUUUUCCUUCUUUUUUUUUGUCAGACAAAGAUUUUCAGCACCCAGGAGGGGAUGCUUAGGAGAGCUUGCUGUUUCUUGGGGAGCGAGCAGAAGAUGUGCCUAUCCCUUAUCCCAGCCUUGGACACACCUCACGCUGUGUUGCAGGGGCAGGGCUGAGUGCUGCAUCUUUCUCCCUUGAGGAAGCUGCUGCCAGCCCUUCUCUUCCCCCAUGCUCUGCUCUGGGCAGCUGCCCUGCCCAGGCAGGCAGAUGUGGCUGUGGGAACAGCAGCGCUGCCUUUUCUUGGUUCCAUGUGGCUCAGCCACAGCUGGCACUGGGUGGGUGACUCUUCCCAGAGUGGCACAGCCCUCGCAGCCCACACGAGGUUGGGGUGUGCUCUGGGAUAUGGUAUGGGGCUGUGUCUGAAGCCUCCCUGAUGAGCCACUAGCCACCAGUAGGGAGCAGGAUUUGACGAAAUUUUAGUGUUUUUUUCCCUUGUUUUAAACCCUCCUUAUUUUGGCAGAUGUCAUUAAGUGAGAGGAACAAAUUUGUCUUGUUCAACAGCAUCCACAAAACCAAGCUGGGUCUCUUUCACAAGAGAGUGACUGAAAUUGCUGAGGCUCAGGGCACAUCACUAGCAUAGUCAGCUACCAUCAUUUAAGGGCCAGAGUGCAAGUGAUGGACAUCAACCAGAUCUGGUCCUUCCCUCCAGCUAUGGCACUUUGUCCAAAGCCAAAGCUGUUGAACACUGGUGUGGUCACAGAGCAGCUCUGCUAAAGCCUUGCUUUUGGCUGGGACUGGCCACCAUUCCGCUGGAAGCAAAGCCAUCAUUCCCACCAUAAUUUAUCCUCUGCUUUCAUAGGGACUCAAUGUAUAAGGAACGGCAUGAAUAGGGAUGAGGGUCCAGUCCCUUCCCUGAUGAAAUCAUCGUCUCAAAUAUAGCAAGGGCAGGAAAUGGCAACGUGAUUAAGAGUUCUCAUUAGCCAUGUUCUCCUAAUAUUUAUAUUUUAGCUACUUUUAUUUACAGAGUCCACUAGCACCAGUUAAAUUAUACACUUUGAAAAAGAAUACAAAGCCUGUCUGGAAGUGAAUACACAGGACUACUGACUUUGUUAAGAUAAUAAUGAUGAUUAUCGUGAUAGAUCAGCCUUGAUGAAUAAGAUUUUGCCAGACCAGGUGUGGAGGGAAGGCAGGUGGUGGGAAUGUGGCAGUCUGUCCAUGCAUACACACAUGCAUGCGUGCGUGUGUAUGGGGGGGAGGGUUGUUCUUUGUUUUGUUUUUGCCUUUGGUCAAAUUCAAACAAUGUGCAGUAACAAGAAGUAAAUGUCAUUUUCCUCCCAUCCAUCUUAAUUUGGCAUCCAUUUUAAAGCUUACCUUUGACCUUUUAAAAUGUUAAUACACUUAAGCAGAUAUAAAAAACAUAAAGCUCCUAGAAAAAUUAAUCACACCCAUAUCAUGAUGCUGAUCUAAAAAUGUAUCAUCAGUUGUUUUCCUAUUUAAAGAAACAUUUGUCCAGUGCAACAGCAGCAGCGAUGCUACAAUUACCUAUUAUUUCCUUUUCAAACAAGUAACUACAUUAAAUGCUACAGCAAAACCCUUUCAGCAUAACCAGCACAACUUACAAUGAAUCUGUUUUGUUGAGUAACUGCCUAGAAUCAUUGAAAGGAUCCUGAAAUGGACCUUGAGAAGUGUCCCAUCCCUCAGCCCCAGGCAGGGCCAGUUAAAUCUAAACCAUUCUUGACAGGAAACCUUAUUUAGAUUUCCUUUAAGAAGCAGCCUUAAAUAGAACUGGAGAAAAUUGCACAAUUGAAAAUAUAUAAUGUAUAUACAUACAAGAAAAUAAUUUUAUAUGAGUAUUUUAUAUGAGUAUGUAUAAAAAAAUACAAAGAGACAACCCAGAUCUAAAUUAUAAGUCUCCCUCCUCUGACCACUCCAUACCCUCUAACCAAAGAGUCCAAAACAGGAAACUCUAAUAAAAACAUCUCCUUCCUUUUUAAAAAUAAAGGCUACUCAAGUGAGAACCUCAGCUCCUUGGAAAUGCAGAGGCAUCUCUUCUCAAGAAAAUCAGAAUUAUCAGGUCCCAAAAUAUUUGGGUCUUUAUGCUGCAGAGCAAAGAGCUUUUCAGUUCCACAAAAUGCAAAAAGUAAGAGUAUUGACCAGCCUUUCCAGUAACCAAAGUGAGUCUAAGAUAUCUGUAUCCUGUUUGUGAUCAAGGGCAUUCACCUUGUCUCCUGACCUAAUCAUUUCUGGUGGGAGGCUGCACUAGGUCCCUCCAGGACAGUCACUGCACAUCUCUGAGGUUACAUGCUAUGAACACCGGGAUCCAUGGCACACUGCCUCAUGCUGUUUCCACUUUCCUGUCUGUAGCACUCAUGGCAUCCAAACUGACAGCUACCUCCAUCAAUUCAAUAUCCUCUUUAGAGGACAGAAAGCUGUGGUGACAACCAAAAUACAUCCUAAAAGAAGUGAUGAUUUCAUAGCUAAACACAGCUAUUACACAAGCAUCUAAAAAAAUCAGUUAGGGACCUAAACAUCAAACCCAAACCAAUGGCAGAUGCAAUUCCUUGAUGAGUGAAGAAGUAAAUUCCUUGCAUCUGUUUUCUUCCACCUACCAUCAAUAGGUUGUAGCACAACUGGAGCAUGGUCAGGCAGUUUUCUGCAAAAUGAACACAAGCUUAGGCACAAGGGUGUGGGGAGAUGUGAGAUACCGAGCUUGGCACCACCAGUCCUGUGAGAGAACAACAGGCCUUGAUGUAUCCUGCACACACAAUGCAGCAGAGCUCUAACGCAGAGCCCAGUGUCUUCUGUCACAGAAGCUUUGUG